rnacentral:rRNA from 1 species
AUCAACUUUCGAUGGUAGGAUAGAGGCCUACCAUGGUGGUAACGGGUAACGGGGUGUUAGGGCACGACACCGGAGAGGGAGCCUGAGAAACGGCUACCACAUCCAAGGAUGGCAGCAGGCGCGCAAAUUACCCAAUCCCGACACGGGGAGGUAGUGACAAUAAAUAACAAUACGGGGUCCUUUAGGGUUUCGUAAUUGGAAUGAGUACAAUUUAAAUCUCUUAACGAGGAACAAUUGGAGGGCAAGUCUGGUGCCAGCAGCCGCGGUAAUUCCAGCUCCAAUAGCGUAUAUUAAAGUUGUUGCAGUUAAAAAGCUCGUAGUUGAAUUUCGGGAUCAGUACGCUGGUCGUGCCUUCGGUAUGCACUGGUGUCACUGGUUUCUCCCUUCUGAAGAACCAUCAUGCCAUUCAGUUGGUGUGGCGGGAAAUCAGGACUGUUACUUUGAAAAAAUUAGAGUGUUUAAAGCAGGCUCGCGCUUGAAUACAUUAGCAUGGAAUAAUGAAAUAGGACGUUUGACCCUAUUUUGUUGGUUUCUAGGAUCGACGUAAUGAUUAAUAGGGAUAGUUGGGGGCAUUAGUAUUCAAUUGUCAGAGGUGAAAUUCUUGGAUUUAUUGAAGACUAACUACUGCGAAAGCAUUUGCCAAGGAUGUUUUCAUUAAUCAAGAACGAAAGUUAGGGGAUCGAAGACGAUCAGAUACCGUCGUAGUCUUAACCAUAAACUAUGCCGACUAGGGAUCGGAUGAUGUUAAUUUUUUAAUGACUCAUUCGGCGCCUUACGGGGAACCAAAGUGUUUGGGUUC